CAAAGUGGUCGGAUCCUUCCCUGGACCCUGCGCAAGCGGGAGCUACAUGCACCAGGUUGCCCUUUUUUUAGUCCUAUGUUUGAGUCAUUAAGCUGAGCUGCUUUGCUAUUUGUUCAGGGUUUGGAAAAAAUUUAUGGAUCGCCACAUGGUCAAAGUCUAGAUUAAUUUGUAUAGUUUGACAAAUAAAUGUACUGAUCGGUUGGCUCUCUUUUUUUCUCAGGUAUUAUUCAAGUCAUUCUUUUUACAUUUGGGGAAAAAAAAUCUUUUUUUGCCAGUUAUUUUUGGUAGAAUAUUAAUAACGAAACAAGAUGCUUCUAGUAUUAUGCUUGUGGUUAGUGGAAACAAUUCUGUGGCCAUUCAGUAUACAACCAAUAGUCUGCUAAAACUUUAAUGUCAAAACAUUAUGCUUUUUAUUCUUCUACUUCCUGUUUUGUUACCUGAUGGCAGUAAGCCUGCAAUGUUUCACAGGGGUUGCUUCUGAACACUUGGUUUCUAUUGCAUAAUGCAAGCAUUGAAGCUAUUAUGGAAAGUUGCAGAUGUUACGGUUGCUAUAUGUGUAGUACACCUGAUUCUAUAACUAUUUUUUGUUUCAAUUUGAUAUACAUGACAAUCAAUUUAUCUGCUACUUGGAAUAUUUACUUGUCACUAUCACUGUGUAGUGGAGACAACCAAAUGUGGUUAUUGAAUCAUGUGAUUGCAUCUGCAGUUUACAGCUCAUGGGAAUUGGGAAUGAUGCCGGUGCUUGUUUUGGAAUCAGUUUGAAGGUGGCACCAUGCAUGUACGUAAGCGCUAAUGCUAACUAAGUGAUGUCUGGACUGAGGACCCAAGGGAGCUAGGCUUGCCGGCCAUCGUGCUGCACAUGGGCAGCGCAGUGGCUAUCCGCUACUUCAGGCCCUAUGCCAUGCUGCACCACAAAGGAUACUUGCCAGCGCAAGACAUAUUCAGAGUAUGCAUCAACUGGACAAGCCAGUGGAAGAGCUGGCGUCAAUACGAGUGUCGGAUCUGUUCAACCCAAGCAUAUCGCCCAGCCAAGAAAUGGCGAACAAAAUCCUGGACACGGCCACCACUACUACAAAUAACUCCUAGGGAUUGCCUUCGCUACAAGUGCCAAAACUCUUGACAUUGAUGCCACGAGUGUAGCUGCACUGCCACCCACAAGCUUUUCGACGUAUAGCCUCAAUCACAACGCUGAAGGAGGCGACCCCAUGGUGGCGUGUUAGGCUUUCGGAGUAUGCCUCCGUCCUUCACUGUGCCUCCAGAGGACUCGCUAAUCCUGUUGCCUGAGCCAGCUAUCGGCCUCACACCCAGCGUGCUAGCACACACCAAUUAUUCCAUGAGUACUGCGGCUAGGAGUGCUACUGUGACCACGCUCUACAUGGUUGCAUCACAAGAGGUUCUCCGAACAGUAGCUCUUACUACUCUCCAUGCUUGGACAAGAUCUACGACCACUGACAUGUCCGUCAUUUGAUUGCUCUCAUCGUGGUGUGCAUCUGAAACACGUGGGGCUAGUAUGACAAAUUGUUUAUGUGAUGGCACAUUUUCCAGAUUAUCUGAAUUCUCUAAGAGACUCCUGUAGGUAUCUGCUGCGAACUGUGCAACUGAAACCAUGCCCAUCUAAGAAAGAAGGUUGUAUGCUGGAUCCUUGUGGUGCCAAAAGCUACUUCCAUCCCAUGUCAGCAGAUCUUGUGAUUAAUGGAUGUCCAGCUGAAGCUUCCAUGGUUAUCAAUUUCAUGCAAAUGCCAAGCACUACAUGUGUUGUCAGAACUACAUAAUGGUGAGCUCACUGAUGACUACUACUCGAGGGUUACAAAUUCUGGUUCGCCUGUGAUUAUCUGUUGAUAACCUUGAUUCAUUGGAAUUAUUUGAGACUCAGUUUCUAGCUCAUCAGCAAGUCAGGGAGUUGGCUGGGUCUUUUUUGCCUUGAGAAAUAGAUGGGCACCAGAGAUCCUAUGUAUAAAAGCCAGGAGCAGUGGAACUUUUAUGAGCAUCAUGUGCUAGAGCAUGAUAUAGUAUGUAGUAUUCUAGGCCUGCCAAAUUGCAGUACACAAUGUUGAUCAUGAACAUAUUAGUGUAGUGGCAAUUUUUAGUUAACGGGAAUUUAAGGGAGUGGUCAUUUUGCUAAAGGAUGCAGUUCUGAACAAUAUGAUGAGCUCUGGGUCCUAGUAUGUUUCCUGGGUCAACUUAUUUGUUGCUUUGAACAAAG